CCAGAGUAUAGCAUAGCUCAGUGUCAUUAAUAAAAAAAAAAUGAGUGUCACAAAGUUAGUACACCAGGAACCCUACACUGUAAUGUCACUACUUAUUGUACACUGUACACUAAAUGGAGUUUAGCUUUAAUGAAAAAUCAAUUAAUUUUAUUAACCAAGAGUAUGGAAAUAUAGUAUGAGGCUACAGCACAGACAUUAAUUGUAUAUUGACC